CUUAAUUAAUAUUCUAUUCAAAAUCCCACUUUUUUUCCCUACCAGAAUAAAAAAAAAAAAACUCGUCUUCUUCACAAUUCGAUUUUCAUCUUUCAAAACAGAAAACCCGAUCUAUCUGACUCCGUGAAGUUUCAGCUAUGGCGUUCAUGAAGGGUAAACCAGUAAUCACCAAAAUUGCAGCGUUGGCGAGAUACGGUGUUCUACCAGGAGCCAUGGUGGCGGCGCUCGUUUACUCUCCUCCUAAUUACGCUGACAAACACUCCUCCGCCACCGCCAAUUAGGUGCACGAGGGUUACAUUACAUGAAGAAAAUCAGCAGUAUGUGAGAGUCCUUUAAUGCAACAUGUUCUGUAAUAAAUUGAGUGACUAGUUUUGUUUUAGAAAUACUUAGAUUAUGACUGUUUUGGGAGACAAUUUGUUUCAUCUGAGUUUUGUGGAAUCAACUCUUUUGUCUCUUGAGUAUCACUGAAAAUAAUAACAAGGAAUGACCCUCACAUUUGUUAUUA